UACGUAGGGCGCAAGCGUUGUCCGGAAUUAUUGAGCGUAAAGAGCUCGUAGGCGGCUUGUCACGUCGGGUGUGAAAGCCCGGGGCUUAACCCCGGGUCUGCAUUCGAUACGGGCAGGCUAGAGUGUGGUAGGGGAGAUCGGAAUUCCUGGUGUAGCGGUGAAAUGCGCAGAUAUCAGGAGGAACACCGGUGGCGAAGGCGGAUCUCUGGGCCAUUACUGACGCUGAGGAGCGAAAGCGUGGGGAGCGAACAGG
rnacentral:rRNA from 1 species